GUGCAGAGUUAAAAGCAAGGGGCUGCCCUAAUUGUAGUUUUUCUUUCUGACCCUUUUUCACAGGGAGGUUGUGCUUUUUGGGUAUUCUGUGUCAGUUUUCACUCUUGGCCAGAAUUUUCUGUGGUUCUGGUGGAGUGUAGUGGUUGCUGCUCCUUGCCUGGGGACACAGUGGCCUUGGGAAGCAUCUCUGUAAAUCAGAGUUAUGCUGGGUUGAUGCCUGAAAACUAGGUGAGAAUACACUACUCCGCAGUGUAAGGCUUACAGCGCAGGUACUUGUUUAUUCAACGCCACGAGUGAGGGGGAUUGCUCCACCACAAACUCACUCGUCCGUUCUUUGCACAGUACUGGCUUGUAUACUUUUUUUUUUACUUGGUGUGCUCAUUCGUCUUUCUUAUCCUUCAUAUGGAAACAUAUUUUCUAAUUACAUGAUUACAGAAGUCCUUGUGGCACAGGAGCCAUGCUGCUUGCAGAUGUUUAGAGAAAUUGGAUUCAGUGAGUUCUGUAGAAAUCUUCUGCUUACCUUUUAAUCUUCUGGAGAAGCUGGACUGGAACGUGGAAGCUCAGGGGAGACCUUCCCACAGGUAUUUGUAUUCAGUGCCGUUGUGUGCAUCUUUGCUGCAUUUUCCUCAUUAGGGAAGGGACUCGUUCGUGUUGGUUUUGCUUUUCAGUCAGCAGGGGUGCAGGUAUUCAGGGUUCAGCCAAAGGAAGAUUCCAAAGGGAGUUUUAGGGAUGGCUGCGGCCGGCUUUCCCAGAGUCGGUUUCUUUCAUUUUGGUUUUGUGCCCUAAACAAUUUGACACUGUUUUUUGACCCAGGAUUUAGCAAGACAAUCCCGAAGUAAAGUUCCUUUGCUGUUAUUGCUGGGAAUGUUUUUGCUCUGUUGCCUGGAAAGGCCGACCUGGAACAGAGACUAGACAGAGUAAAAGGAAUAAAAGAGGUAUUUAUUGAAAGGAUACACUUUGGGGCAGUGCGACAUCCCGGCCAGGACUACACCCAAGUCAGAUUCCACAUGGAUGCCAGUAACAAGUCUUUACACUUUUAUAAGUUUUGGUUCAUCUCCAUAUUGGGGUUUAUUAUCCAGCCACAGCCUCAGGCUAUGAACUCUCAGCCCCCUGGCUUGCUCCCUUUCCCUCACCGUUGCUUUUGCUUUUUUGGGUAUCGCUUGUCCUUGAUUGUCUAGCUAGAAAGGAAUUGUUUUGUCUUAACUAUCCUGUAAAGAGAACUUACUAACACCUAAUAUGAAGUUUCACAGUUACACACUAAGCAGCAGAGAUUCUGAAAAAUACAAAAGCUAAAACUUUUAAAGCUCCAAGGUGUGAGCUCCAAGUCCCUCCAUACCUGAGGACUCAAAGGUGUUCGGGUGUGACAGCAGAUGGGAAACCUGUGAUGUGCAAGUCACCCAGUUGGAAGUGGUGCUGGAGCUUGGAGUGUGAGGGACUGGGACCAGGGAAAAAGGCAUCAAGUGAGUGGUGUGCCCUGGGGACAGGCGGAGCCUGUCCUUACCCGUCUGCCAGGAGCAUCUGAAGGAAAGCAAACACAGAGAUUGAGCCACAAGGAACCUGCCAGAAGCAGGCCUUCAUUGCAUAUGUGGGAUUUCAGUUUGCUCUCGGACUCUUCCCUCCAAUCUUCUCUCGAGUUCUUGUUCCAGAGGGGCUCUGACAAGAGGUGCGUUACCUUGAUAAAUGGGAAUGAGAUUGGCCAAGUCUGUCAGGAAAGCAAAACCAUCCCCGAGGUUUGUUUGGCCAAAGACGGACCAUGACAACGUCCAUACUGGCGGAGGCUGUGAGUGCUGAUACUUUUGGGUGGUGUGGUUCCUCUGGCCCCUUACAAGUCAGGGCGAGGCUGAAGGAAGGAGGGAAGCUGCCACAGCUGCAGGUGAGGGCAGUGUAGGCUGUUUCCAGCUGCUUGGUACAGAACUGUGAGAACUGGAAGAACAGCUUUCCUCCUUCUUUCUCUCCAUCACUGGGCAUGAAGGAUAUUAGGAUGUAGCUGCACUAAGUUGUGUCAUUUGUGGGUUGUUGAUUGGUUGUUGUUUCUUCUGGCUUUUUUAUGUAUUUCCAAGUGGUGCAGUGAGGAGCAAGUUGCUGGCUUAUGUGAUUUCUGACUGAGCUGCCACAGAAACGGGCAUCUGUGUGUGCACAUGCUUCCUGGCAAAUCCAGAUUUGACGUGGAAAUCCUAGGGGAGGAUUUCCAGCCUUGACCACGCGUGACACAGGCUUGUGAAAAUGGAAAUGGCCUUGGCAGAAGAGCAGCUGUGAAGUGAAGCAGAACUGCAAUACAGUUGUUUCCAGGUGCUGCCCAGGAUGGACAUCUGUGGCCUCAGACAGCGAUUGCCUAGGAGGAAGGGGAGGCUUUGCACAGCUCACCUGCACAGCUCAGGACCGGAGAAACGGUUCCACUCCUCCCGUCUUUGCCAAAAGCUGUGGUGUUUGAGGAGCCAGAGACAAGAGGCUUCAGCACCAGGGCUCUGCACUGGAGGGCUCCCGGUCCUGACCGCGCAGGGUUCCCCUUUUCCUCCCCGCUGGGAUGAAGUGUCUAUGGCAUCUGGGUGAAACUGCAGCUCUGCUGGUAUCCAGGCACGUGAGGUCCGGGGGACUGCGUUUCCCUGUGGCUUUCCAGGUCGGCAGGAGCCAGAGGAAAUGGGGUGCCAGAGCCGUGCCCCAUCAGGCCGUGUUUGCCUCUGAGGAACAGAGAGUCCGGGCUGAGGAGCUGACAGAAAAGUAGGUUAAGCCUUAGAAGUUGGGUCCAUUGACUGCAGAAACUUGCCGAGGCUGGAGGACUGGGGUGAUGGCUGCUCCCAGGAAAGGGAGAAGAGGACGAACUCCCAGCCAUUCAGGCCUGACAGUCCCCUGCAGUGAGAGCUCAGCACGCAUCCCCAGAGGCAAGUCCAGCAGGAGAAAGAAGGAAAAAAGCUGUUUUUCUAUUCCUUACUUGCGUUCCCAUCGGGGCAGUGUGGCUUGGAGCUCGGGAGCUGGAUCUGUUACUUACCCACAUCAGAUUGGUGUGCACUGGUUCAGGAGGAUGAGGAAAAAAGGCUGCAGAGCUUCCUACAAGGGGCUGUAAGUGCAAAUAAAGAGGAGCCAGAGGUUUAGUUGAUAUGAAGCACUAGUUCUGAAAAGAGCCUGAUGGAUUUGCUGAUACCAAAACCAGUAGGAAUAGGAGACUGAACUCGGGCAUGGGGAUGGUCUCCUUGGCUUUAAAAAGCUUUAAUGGCUUUAAAAGGCAUUUCUAUCAGACGUGGUUUAUUUGUAUUACCUUUCAUUAAAUUUUAAA